GAUGAACGCUGGCGGCGUGCCUAAUACAUGCAAGUCGAACGCAGUGGGGACGGGUGAGUAACACGUGGGUAACCUCCCAUCAGAGGGGAUAACACUUGGAAACAGGUGCUAAACCGAUACUGGAGGAUGGACCCGCGGUGCAUUAGCUAGUUGGUGAGGUAACGGCCCACCAAGGCCACGAUGCAUAGCUGGUCUGAGAGGGUGAUCGGCCACACUGGGACUGAGACACGGCCCAGACUCCUACGGGAGGCAGCAGUGGGGAAUCUUGCGCAAUGGACGCAAGUCUGACCGAGCAACGCCGCGUGUGUGAAGAAGGUUUUCGGAUCGUAAAACACUGUUGUUAGAGAAGCGGUAUCUAACCAGGAAGCCACGGCUAACUCCGUGCCAGCAGCCGCGGUAAUAC
rnacentral:rRNA from 1 species